GGAGGGUUGUAGCUCAGUAGAAGAGCUUCUGCCUUGCAUCCAAAAGGCCCCAAGUUUGAUUCCAGACAUCUCCA